rnacentral:rRNA from 1 species
AGACCCGAAACCCGGUGAUCUAGCCAUGGGCAGGUUGAAGGUUGGGUAACACUAACUGGAGGACCGAACCGACUAAUGUUGAAAAAUUAGCGGAUGACCUGUGGCUGGGGGUGAAAGGCCAAUCAAACCGGGAGAUAGCUGGUUCUCCCCGAAAGCUAUUUAGGUAGCGCCUCGUGAAUUCAUCUCCGGGGGUAGAGCACUGUUUCGGCUAGGGGGCCAUCCCGGCUUACCAACCCGAUGCAAACUGCGAAUACCGGAGAAUGUUAUCACGGGAGACACACGGCGGGUGCUAACGUCCGUCGUGAAGAGGGAAACAACCCAGACCGCCAGCUAAGGUCCCAAAGUCAUGGUUAAGUGGGAAACGAUGUGGGAAGGCCCAGACAGCCAGGAUGUUGGCUUAGAAGCAGCCAUCAUUUAAAGAAAGCGUAAUAGCUCACUGGUCGAGUCGGCCUGCGCGGAAGAUGUAACGGGGCUAAACCAUGCACCGAAGCUGCGGCAGCGACGCUGAUGCGUUGUUGGGUAGGGGAGCGUUCUGUAAGCCUGUGAAGGUGGCCUGUGAGGGUUGCUGGAGGUAUCAGAAGUGCGAAUGCUGACAUAAGUAACGAUAAAGCGGGUGAAAAGCCCGCUCGCCGGAAGACCAAGGGUUCCUGUCCAACGUUAAUCGGGGCAGGGUGAGUCGACCCCUAAGGCGAGGCCGAAAGGCGUAGUCGAUGGGAAACGGGUUAAUAUUCCCGUACUUGGUGUUACUGCGAUGGGGGGACGGAGAAGGCUAUGUUGGCCGGGCGACGGUUGUCCCGGUUUAAGCGUGUAGGUGUGUGUUCCAGGUAAAUCCGGUUCACUUUAACACUGAGGCGUGAUGACGAGGCACUACGGUGCUGAAGCAACAAAUGCCCUGCUUCCAGGAAAAGCCUCUAAGCAUCAGGUAACAUCAAAUCGUACCCCAAACCGACACAGGUGGUCAGGUAGAGAAUACCAAGGCGCUUGAGAGAACUCGGGUGAAGGAACUAGGCAAAAUGGUGCCGUAACUUCGGGAGAAGGCACGCUGACAUGUAGGUGAAGUGAUUUACUCACGGAGCUGAAGUCAGUCGAAGAUACCAGCUGGCUGCAACUGUUUAUUAAAAACACAGCACUGUGCAAACACGAAAGUGGACGUAUACGGUGUGACGCCUGCCCGGUGCCGGAAGGUUAAUUGAUGGGGUCAGCGCAAGCGAAGCUCCUGAUCGAAGCCCCGGUAAACGGCGGCCGUAACUAUAACGGUCCUAAGGUAGCGAAAUUCCUUGUCGGGUAAGUUCCGACCUGCACGAAUGGCGUAAUGAUGGCCAGGCUGUCUCCACCCGAGACUCAGUGAAAUUGAACUCGCUGUGAAGAUGCAGUGUACCCGCGGCAAGACGGAAAGACCCCGUGAACCUUUACUAUAGCUUGACACUGAACAUUGAGCCUUGAUGUGUAGGAUAGGUGGGAGGCUUUGAAGUGUGGACGCCAGUCUGCAUGGAGCCGGCCUUGAAAUACCACCCUUUAAUGUUUGAUGUUCUAACGUGGACCCGU